ncrna:unclassified sequences IMES-2 RNA motif
GAGUUAAUUAAGAGGCAACUCUUAACUGACCAACUGGGGAAAGGCCGAGAGGACCAAGCCCAGGGGGCAGAAAGCUUCGCGGAGUAGCGCUAAAAUCGUGAAGCGGGAGGCAUGGCGGUAGCGCCUACAACGACGUGCCAA